AACGCUGGCGGCGCGCUUAACACAUGCAAGUCGAGCGAGAACCAGGACUUCGGUCUUGGAGACAGCGGCGAACGGGUGAGUAACACGUGGGUAAUCUGCCCUCGGUUCUGGGAUAGCCCGGGGAAACUCGGAUUAAUACCGGAUAGCCUCUCUGGCCCUCGGGCCGGUGAGAAAAGGUAGCCUCGGCCUCCGACUGAGGAUGAGCCCGCGGCGGAUUGGCUUGUUGGCGGGGCAACGGCCCACCAAGGCGACGAUCCGUAGCUGGUCUGAGAGGACGAUCAGCCAGACUGGGACUGGGACACGGCCCAGACUCCUACGGGAGGCAGCAGUGGGGAAGCUUGCGCAAUGGGCGAAAGCCUGAUGCAGCGACGCCGCGUGAGGGAAGAAGGCCUUCGGGUUGUAAACCUCUUUCAGGUGGGACGAAGCCACUCGGGUGAAUAGCCCAGAGGGUGACGGUACCUGGAGAAAAAGCCCCGGCUAACUUCGUGCCAGCCGCCGCCGUAACAC
rnacentral:rRNA from 1 species